GCAGCCACCUUUUAAAACGCGUCAAAGCGUAACCUUAGCCCCCAAAAUACCAUUAAUUUUCAUGAACCCCUAAUCUAUAAUGAAUGACUCCAUAUUUAUAUGGAAGACACCAUGCUAGGAUUAGUAACAAGAAUUUAUAAUUCUCCAAAAUGCAAAUAUAAACCAACAUGGAUGGACCAUUGGUAGUUACCGAACCUAAAUUCAAUGCAACAACACCUACAAGAAAACUCUGCAGUACUUACUCGUUAACCUAACACCAGCGCAUUACAGGAAAGAUUUAAAAAAAGAGAAGGAAUUCGGCAAAUGACGGCCCCGCCUGUUUACCAAAAACAUCGCCUCUUGACUUAUAAUAAGAGGUCCAGCCUGCCCAGUGAAUUUUAAACGGCCGCGGUAUCCUAACCGCGCGAAGGUAGCAUAAUCACUUGUUCUUUAAAUGGGGACUCGUAUCAACGGCAUCACGAGGGUUUUACUGUCUCCUCUUUUUGAUCAGUGAAAUUGAUCUUCCCGUGAAGAAGCGGGAAUAAAUUUAUAAGACGAGAAGACCCCAUGGAGCUUUAAACCAAAUAACAACUUAACCACUUAUCCCAUAAUAAAUUUAAGCCCUGUUAUAAGGUUUUUGGUUGGGGUGACCGCGGAGUAAAACACAUCCUCCACGACGAAAAAAACAGAAUUUUUAUUUAAGAACCACACUUCUAGAAAUUAGUAUACUAACGUUUACUGACCCGACAAUCGAUCAACGGACCAAGUUACCCUGGGGAUAACAGCGCAAUCUACUUCAAGAGCUCAUAUCGACAAGUAGGCUUACGACCUCGAUGUUGGAUCAGGGUAUCCCGGUGGUGCAGCCGCUACCGAAGGUUCGUUUGUUCAACGAUUAAAACCCUACGUGAUC
rnacentral:rRNA from 1 species